CCUGGCGGCCAUAGCGCUGUGGUCCCACCCGAUCCCAUCCCGAACUCGGAAGUGAAACGCAGCCGCGCCGAUGGUAGUGUGCAUUUGCAUGCAAGAGUAGGUCACCGCCAGGG
rnacentral:rRNA from 1 species